CCUACGGGUGGCAGCAGUGAGGAAUAUUGGUCAAUGGCCGGAAGGCUGAACCAGCCAUGCCGCGUGAAGGUCAGUGCCCUAUGGGCGUUAAACUUCUUUUGUGCGGGAGCAAUAAUGGUCACGUGUGGCCAGACGAGAGUACCGUACGAAUAAGCAUCGGCUAACUCCGUGCCAGCAGCCGCGGUAAUACGGGGGAUGCAAGCGUUAUCCGGAUUUAUUGGGUUUAAAGGGUGCGUUGGCUGUGAGGUAAGUCAGCUGUGAAAGGCCGCCGCUCAACGGGGAGAAGUGCCAUUGAUACUGCCUGGCUGGAGUGCAGAUGAGGUGGGAGGAAGGUGUGGUGUAGCGGUGAACUGCAUAGAGAUCACACAGAACACCGAUUGCGAAGGCAGCUCACGAAUCCGCGAUUGACGUUGAUGCACGAAAGCGUGGGUAUCAAACAGGAUUAGAUACCCUAGUAGUC
rnacentral:rRNA from 1 species